rnacentral:rRNA from 1 species
CCCCGUGCGGCGUGCUUACACAUGCAAGUCGAACGAUGAUGCCCAGCUUGCUGGGCGGAUUAGUGGCGAACGGGUGAGUAAUACGUGAGUAACCUGCCCUUGACUCUGGGAUAAGCCUGGGAAACUGGGUCUAAUACUGGAUACUACCUCUUACCGCAUGGUGGGUGGUGGAAAGGGUUUUACUGGUUUUGGAUGGGCUCACGGCCUAUCAGCUUGUUGGUGGGGUAAUGGCUCACCAAGGCGACGACGGGUAGCCGGCCUGAGAGGGUGACCGGCCACACUGGGACUGAGACACGGCCCAGACUCCUACGGGAGGCAGCAGUGGGGAAUAUUGCACAAUGGGCGGAAGCCUGAUGCAGCGACGCCGCGUGAGGGAUGACGGCCUUCGGGUUGUAAACCUCUUUCAGUAGGGAAGAAGCGAGAGUGACGGUACCUGCAGAAGAAGCGCCGGCUAACUACGUGCCAGCAGCCGCGGUAAUACGUAGGGCGCAAGCGUUGUCCGGAAUUAUUGGGCGUAAAGAGCUCGUAGGCGGUUUGUCGCGUCUGCUGUGAAAGCCCGGGGCUCAACCCCGGGUCUGCAGUGGGUACGGGCAGACUAGAGUGCAGUAGGGGAGACUGGAAUUCCUGGUGUAGCGGUGAAAUGCGCAGAUAUCAGGAGGAACACCGAUGGCGAAGGCAGGUCUCUGGGCUGUUACUGACGCUGAGGAGCGAAAGCAUGGGGAGCGAACAGGAUUAGAUACCCUGGUAGUCCAUGCCGUAAACGUUGGGCACUAGGUGUGGGGGACAUUCCACGUUUUCCGCGCCGUAGCUAACGCAUUAAGUGCCCCGCCUGGGGAGUACGGCCGCAAGGCUAAAACUCAAAGGAAUUGACGGGGGCCCGCACAAGCGGCGGAGCAUGCGGAUUAAUUCGAUGCAACGCGAAGAACCUUACCAAGGCUUGACAUUCACCGGACCGCCCCAGAGAUGGGGUUUCCCUUCGGGGCUGGUGGACAGGUGGUGCAUGGUUGUCGUCAGCUCGUGUCGUGAGAUGUUGGGUUAAGUCCCGCAACGAGCGCAACCCUCGUUCUAUGUUGCCAGCACGUGAUGGUGGGGACUCAUAGGAGACUGCCGGGGUCAACUCGGAGGAAGGUGGGGAUGACGUCAAAUCAUCAUGCCCCUUAUGUCUUGGGCUUCACGCAUGCUACAAUGGCCGGUACAAAGGGUUGCGAUACUGUGAGGUGGAGCUAAUCCCAAAAAGCCGGUCUCAGUUCGGAUUGAGGUCUGCAACUCGACCUCAUGAAGUCGGAGUCGCUAGUAAUCGCAGAUCAGCAACGCUGCGGUGAAUACGUUCCCGGGCCUUGUACACACCGCCCGUCAAGUCACGAAAGUUGGUAACACCCGAAGCCGGUGGCCUAACCCCUUGUGGGAGGGAGCCGUCGAAGGUGGGACUGGCGAUUGGGACUAAGUCGUAACAAGAGCCGUCGG